GAUGAACGCUGGCGGCGUGCCUAAUACAUGCAAGUCGAACGAAAAGACCCUGCGCUUGCUGCUCGCUCGUGAGCCGAACACGGGAGUAACACGCGUGGAACAUGUCCCUGUCUGUGGGAUAACACUAGGAAACUGGGGCGAAUAUAGGGUAGGAUCUCUUGCACCACGGUGGUGGAUGGAAAGAGACGGCGGUGGGGGAUGUACUAGCUGGUUAUGCGCUUGUUGGUGGGGUAGUGGCGGACAAAGGUUUCGACGGGUAGCCAGCAUGAGAGGGUGAACGGCCACAAUGGUACUGAGAUACGGCCCAGACUCCUACGGGAGGCAGCAGUGGGGAGUAUUGCACAGUGGGCCGAAGUCUGAGGCAGCAACGCCGCGUGCGGGAUGACGGCCUUCGGGUUGUAAACCGCUUUCGCCUGUGCCAAAGCGUGAGUGACGGUAAUGGGUAAAGAAGCACCGGCUAACUACGUG
rnacentral:rRNA from 1 species